rnacentral:rRNA from 1 species
GACGAACUCUGGCGGCGUGCUUAACACAUGCAAGUCGAACGGAAAGGCCCUGCUUGCAGGGUACUCGAGUGGCGAACGGGUGAGUAACACGUGGGUGAUCUGCCCUGCACUUCGGGAUAAGCCUGGGAAACUGGGUCUAAUACCGGAUAUGACCUUCCAUGUAGUGUGGGGGGUGGAAAGAUUUAUCGGUGUGGGAUGAGCCCGCGGCCUAUCAGCUUGUUGGUGGGGUAAUGGCCUACCAAGGCGUCGACGGGUAGCCGGCCUGAGAGGGUGGACGGCCACAUUGGGACUGAGAUACGGCCCAGACUCCUACGGGAGGCAGCAGUGGGGAAUAUUGCACAAUGGGCGGAAGCCUGAUGCAGCGACGCCGCGUGGGGGAUGACGGCCUUCGGGUUGUAAACCUCUUUCGACAGGGACGAAGCUUCGGUGACGGUACCUGUAUAAGAAGCACCGGCUAACUACGUG